CCCCCCCGUGGUGUCUCCACCUUGCCGUGGUGGGGGGGCUGGUAGGUCUCCAGUGAGCUCAAAGGAUAUGCCGGCGGUAGCGUAGCUACCGGGAGGUGCAACCUUGGCGGACAGGCGGAGAGUGAGGAGGCCGACUAAGAGAGAC
rnacentral:ribozyme from 1 species